AUUGUACGCUGGCGGCAUGCUUUACACAUGCAAGUCGAACGAUAACAGGUUAAGCUGACGAGUGGCGAACGGGUGAGUAAUGCAUCGGAACGUGCCCGAUCGUGGGGGAUAACGCAGCGAAAGCUGCGCUAAUACCGCAUACGAACUGAGGAUGAAAGCGGGGGACCGUAAGGCCUCGCGCGAUCGGAGCGGCCGAUGUCAGAUUAGGUAGUUGGUGGGGUAAAGGCUCACCAAGCCAACGAUCUGUAGCUGGUCUGAGAGGACGACCAGCCACACUGGGACUGAGACACGGCCCAGACUCCUACGGGAGGCAGCAGUGGGGAAUUUUGGACAAUGGGCGAAAGCCUGAUCCAGCAAUGCCGCGUGCAGGAAGAAGGCCUUCGGGUUGUAAACUGCUUUUGUACGGAGCGAAGAGGUCCCCUCUAAUACAGGGGGCUCAUGACGGUACCGUAAGAAUAAGCACCGGCUAACUACGUGCCAGCAGCCGCCGUAA
rnacentral:rRNA from 1 species